rnacentral:rRNA from 1 species
GACGAACCGUGCGAACGUUGUUCGGAAUCACUGGGCUUAAAGGGCGCGUAGGCGGGCAUUCAAGUCAGGGGUGAAAUCCUCCAGCUUAACUGGAGAACUGCCUUUGAUACUGGGUGUCUCGAGUGAGGUAGGGGCGUGCGGAACUGAUGGUGGAGCGGUGAAAUGUGUUGAUAUCAUCAGGAACUCCGGUGGCGAAAGCGGCGCGCUGGACCUUAACUGACGCUGAGGCGCGAAAGCCAGGGGAGCAAACGGG